rnacentral:rRNA from 1 species
UGACGCGCCGAUAUUCAUAGUGGACACACCUGUUCCCAUCCCGCACACAGCAGUUAAGCACUAUGGAGCCGAAGGUAGCAUCUAAUGUCAGAAUAGGUCGUGCGUCGC